ACCACUUUUGACGGAAUCACUUAGUCAAAAGUACUUUUAAUCAACUCCAUUGGGCAAAAGUACUAUUAACUGUUAUUUUAGUCAAAAGUAUUAUUGACUAAAGCAUACGGUCAAAAGUACUUUUGACUGGUUAAGAGUUUUGACUGCAACAUAAAUACUGUCUCACGUUUGCUUAUACGUCAGUUAUUAUUCACCAUCCUUCCGAGAAAGACACGUAUCUUUUAUCAAUAUAUUAAUUGUUCGUGUAUAGUGCAAAUGUGAUAAUAAACAUAUUACCUAUGGAUUUACAGUUCUGUAUAGUAGAAUAACAACAGUUUGGAUACGAAUUGGAGUAUAAUGGCUAUGGCUGUUUUCCGGAUUCUGAUACUGAUAAUAUUAUUCGGUUUAAUUAAAUCAGCUGUACUAGUCGGAAAUUAUAGAUGUCCCUACAAUAUGGCUCCAAAAAAGAUCAGCAAUACGAUUAUAUGUGUUCCUAAAGACGAUGAAUGAAAUUACAUUUUUAUGGAUUGUUCUUAUUAGUAUUCAGUAAAUUUGGAAUUUUUGUCUAUGAUACAUUUCAGACAAAGUAUCGAUAAUAUUUAUCGGUACUCAAACCUGAAAUGUUAACCUAACCUCAUUGAUAUAUUAUUAAUUAUAUUUAAAUGUGUAAUAGUACCUAGUCUCAUUGAUAUAUUAUUAAGUAUGUAUAAUAUAUGAUUACUUGGUAUUUAAUCGAUUAAUUUGUUAAUAAAAAUGAUGUUUUUUAAUUAUA